AUCUGACAAAUGUUUUAAAUGCUACACAUUCCAUCAACUUCGUCUUGCUCACUAUGCUUAAGGUUAGAGAAGAACAAAUACACUUUUGGUUCUGUUGGUGUUUUCACCAACAGGGCCCAUGCACUUGAUCUCUGCCUUGUCUCUAUGAGCAGGUACACUUCGAGCAAAACCUGAAGGAGUUUUACAACUCCCAGAUUCCACCAAGUGAAGGACUUGGAUCUACGAGCACAAACACAUUAGAGAUACUGGACACUCAGCAAUCAUUGCCCUGAGAUGCUUGAGGACGUAAACUAUAUCAACAAAAACUACUACUACUACAACCGUCCUCAACAAAAUCAAGGUUGGAAUCAACAGAGGCCUAACUACUCAGAGAGGCGAUCCAGGACGCCCCGUCAUCCCGAUCUCCAUCGGCAUGGUGGACUUCCUAGAAGCACUCUGCGACUUUGGCUCCAGCGUCAACAUUAUGCCCAGGCUUGCAGAACGGACACUAAGUUUCCCAAAGGGAAUAUUGAAGAACCUCUGUGUCCGAGUUGGUACCUUGUACGCCCCAGCAGACUUCAUGGUGAUAGAGACUAGUAGUGAUAAAAGGGCACCCAUCAUCCUAAGGAGGCCAUUCUUGAACACCUCGGGAGCUGCCAUCUACGCUAGUGUUGCCAAUAUCAGUUUCUACAUCAAUGGGAGAAGACGAGUACGAUCCACCCAUCAUCCUUGGGAGACCGUUCCUCAGCACUGUUAAAGCAAUCAUCUACAUUGGAACCAGAGAAGUGCACAUACACUUCCCCUCUAAGAAGGUACGCCGCUAUUUUACUGACCCUAACUAUAUAGUUGAAGACUCUAAGCAGGUCAGGACAAGAAGAAGAUAACGCAACCGCAACCAGAGGAGGCAAAUCAUCAAGGACGGAUGGGCAGACUACGAAGGAGAAGUAGUAAGGUCUGAAGACAUACAACUUGAACAGAACUGUCCUGAGGAGACGGUAGCACCGAGUCAAAUGUGGAGAGAGAAGAUAGUUAUACAUGAAGAGGAGGCGCCGCCGGAACCACCGACUACGCCAUCCAGCGAAUCCCAGGACGACUGAGAAAACGAAGAGUCCCGUUUGGAGGACUUAAAAGCACCAAACGCCUUGCCAAGAGGUAAACUUGGUAGUUAUCCUUUUUCUUAUCAACUAUUUAAAAUAGUUUGCUUAGUUAAUCAGGUUCAUAUCAUCUUGAAAAGAAAAUAAAAAGGUAAAAAAUAGUAAGCUCCAUGUGAGUAUGCUCAUGGCAUAAAACCCAUAAGUACAUUCACUGUGGUGGCAUAAAAAUAAAAUAAAUAUAUUCAUGUCCUAUAAAAAUGAAAAUAUAAAAAUAAAUUUAUGAUCCUACCAAAGAGAGUAACAUUUAUUGAGGAGGCUCAACAUGAUAAAGGCUAGAUUUUUAUGCUAACACUUAACUAGUUCCACAAAGCUUUGUUGUCUAUUUGAGCUCCACAGAAUUCAAGGAUCAAAGAAGACUAGCCGGCGGAGGACAUAAUAAUCGUUGUCAGGGUGCUGCCGGUAUUCAAAUACACCUCCAUCACCUGCUAGCUACAUCAGAAAAAAUUACGUCAAAAUCCAGCCUGGAGGAGAGCACCCCCAUUUAUCCAGCUAAGUGUUUCUACUCGCGUUUAUACUUUACUCAAAUAAUAAAAAGAUGCAUAAUCAUGAAAAUCCAAAUAAAUUUUUUUGUGCUUAUAUAUAUAUAUAUAUCUUUGCUUAGUUUGCUAAAUAAAUAAAUAAAGUGUCUAGGCCAAACUGAACAUAAAUGAUAAACUCUCACAUGGAAAUGAUGAAUAGUUGCUCUGCCAUGACUAGUUCUCAAAAUUGAAAUCUUUCUCAAGUUUAGGCAUAACCGUUAUAAUUUAAACCUGCUCUAAACCUGAACUUGUGGGAAGAGUACUUGAUCUAAAGUCUAAGUCGUUAACGGAUAUGAUAUGGGAAGGUUAAGCUGCUGUUUAUCUGUUUCUAGAGAUGCUAGAAUUCUAGAAAAUUUUAUCUUUGAAAAUCUUUAAAAUAACACAUGAUGAGUUCCUGUAUGAUGAGAGUUUAAAUUCCUACCAUAGCCAUGUAUACAUGCUUGCUAGACUUUGAGCCACACAUUUACUUUUUACUGCUUAUGAGCAUUGAGUGUGGUCAAGCUAUGUAGACCCUUAGGAGCUUGUCAUGCGGUUAAAAUCAAGAUUCACUUGCACGUUCACUCAUACAUGCUACUUCUACUCUGGAAGUACGCAUCCACAUCCAUCUCCAGAGCCACCCAAAAGUAUUCUACUCCUAAUCCGGGAGAGAAUAGCCAAAAACACUCUCCUAUUUCUGUUUUUCCCUAUGAAAUAAAUGCUCGAGUUAUCUUGGUUACUACCACUUGCUAUAUUUUAGGAGAUGAGUGCUCUGAAAAAAAGAAAAAAAAAGAGAAGAGAAAGGAUACAAGAAAAUAAAAAGGGACAAGUGCCCGGAACCUCGAAGAAAAGAAAAAGUGAGACGAGAGGUAAAAAUAGACAAGUGUCCGACAGUAGAAUUAGGGGUACAAGAUACCCACCUGAGAGGAAAGAAAAAGAAAAUGUAGAGCAUCUCAUUCUCCUCAAAAAGCUUCAAAGAGCAAGAAAGGUAUGUAUCCCGUCAAAAGAGCAAAAGUAGAAUUAGAUUUUCACCAUUAUAACCAUCAUCACCAUACACCAUUCAUUCGCCACACAUGCACAUCUUGAUUUGACUUAUUGACUUGUUUCUCUAGAUCCAUGGUUUGACUAUGCAAUAAAUGUCUUGUAAGUAUGUAUUAGCUGUCUCCCACCUAUGAGCUCCAGAUAUCAAAGCCUCAUUAGAGUAGGGUGAGAGAAUAGGCAAUAUCACUAUGCCUCAUACCAAAAAUACCACAUACUUUGAGAGAAGGCAUAUACCAUUACUGCCUUGGAAAGGAUCCAGAAAUAUCACAAAAGACAGAUUUGAGAGAGUCAUACAAGGAAUCUCUGAGUUUUAUUUGAAAAUCUGCAAAAACUCCAGAGCUAUAGUUAAUCAAAGAACAAGAGACAUGGCGCUUGACUUGACCGUUCUAUCUUUUAACUGCUCAAGACACAAGUGACAGUUGCAAGCCCCAUGGUUAAAGGUAAAAUGAGUAAGUUUUAAGUCUUAACAGUUUACUCUAACUUAGAGAUGGGAUCUUGCUUGAACGCAUGUGUACUUUUAAGGCAUGAAACCACUGCAGAAACUCUUAAGUCCAUCCUUGCUCAGGGACGAGCAAGAGGUAAGCUUGGGGGAGUUGUUGACGGUCCUUAAGUACCAAAUGUAAUCAUCAAAUCAAUAAAGAAAAGGAUCCAAAUGCAACCAACACCCAGACUUAGGGUUUUUAUCUAACAGAAUUCCACGAGUUUUGGUGUUUGUCUGUUUCUGCAGGGGGUUAUCAAGAAAUAUGGAGGAAAGGCCCACAUGUCCGGUUUACAUAGAGAUAUUAACGUGCCGCGCGAUUUUCUAUCAUCUAGAAGACUCCAGAAGCCACGGGAACGAACGGGAGGCCGAGCGGGCCUAGGGGCAGGGCGCCCGCCCUCCCCCCUUGGGCGCCCGCCCAGGUGUUGUGGCCAAUCAUGUUCAAUCUCGCGGAUUAUGCUCCACCGACCUAAAGGAUCAAGGAGAACCGUUCAAUCAAUGUCGGUUUGAUCCGACGGCCCACGUUCACUUGAGGGGACUAUAUAAGCAGGCCCCCUGGCCCCUGGAGGAGAGCAAUCCCAUUAUUCAUUAUCAUAUUUUCUUGAGAGGAUUCAGAGAGAGAGGUCCCUCUAGGGAUCCAACCUCAUAGGGCUUAGCAUCCAAUGUGAGAGUAGAAUUAGUUCUACUAGAUUGAGAGAGAUAGAGUGGAGGUGUAGAUCGGAGGAAGCCCGGCCUGUCGGAGUCUACUCUGAGGUUGUACCUGCG
rnacentral:lncRNA from 1 species